CGAUGAGUAGGGCGGGACACGUGGUAUCCUGUCUGAAUAUGGGGGGACCAUCCUCCAAGGCUAAAUACUCCUGACUGACCGAUAGUGAACCAGUACCGUGAGGGAAAGGCGAAAAGAACCCCGGCGAGGGGAGUGAAAAAGAACCUGAAACCGUGUACGUACAAGCAGUGGGAGCACAGGUUUACCUGUGUGACUGCGUACCUUUUGUAUAAUGGGUCAGCGACUUAUAUUCUGUAGCAAGGUUAACCGWAUAGGGGAGCCGGAGGGAAACCGAGUCUUAAYYGGGCGUUAAGUUGCAGGGUAUAGACCCGAAACCCGGUGAUCUAGCCAUGGGCAGGUUGAAGGUUGGGUAACACUAACUGGAGGACCGAACCGACUAAUGUUGAAAAAUUAGCGGAUGACCUGUGGCUGGGGGUGAAAGGCCAAUCAAACCGGGAGAUAGCUGGUUCUCCCCGAAAGCUAUUUAGGUAGCGCCUCGUGAAUUCAUCUCCGGGGGUAGAGCACUGUUUCGGCUAGG
rnacentral:rRNA from 1 species